GGAGAGGUGCCGGAGUGGUCGAUCGGGGCGGUCUCGAAAACCGUUGUGCGGGCAACCGUACCGUGGGUUCGAAUCCCACCCUCUCCG
rnacentral:tRNA from 2 species